CCUACGGGAGGCAGCAGUGGGGAAUUUUGGACAAUGGGCGCAAGCCUGAUCCAGCAAUGCCGCGUGCAGGAUGAAGGCCUUCGGGUUGUAAACUGCUUUUGUACGGAACGAAACGGCGAGCUCUAAUACAGUUUGCUAAUGACGGUACCGUAAGAAUAAGCACCGGCUAACUACGUGCCAGCAGCCGCGGUAAUACGUAGGGUGCGAGCGUUAAUCGGAAUUACUGGGCGUAAAGCGUGCGCAGGCGGUGAUGUAAGACAGAUGUGAAAUCCCCGGGCUCAACCUGGGACCUGCAUUUGUGACUGCAUCGCUAGAGUACGGUAGAGGGGGAUGGAAUUCCGCGUGUAGCAGUGAAAUGCGUAGAUAUGCGGAGGAACACCGAUGGCGAAGGCAAUCCCCUGGACCUGUACUGACGCUCAUGCACGAAAGCGUGGGGAGCAAACAGGAUUAGAUACCCUGGUAGUCCACGCCCUAAACGAUGUCAACUGGUUGUUGGGUCUUCACUGACUCAGUAACGAAGCUAAUGCGUGAAGUUGACCGCCUGGGGAGUACGGCCGCAAGGUUGAAACUCAAAUGAAUUGACGG
rnacentral:rRNA from 1 species